UUUGUUUACGCCUCUUCCAUUAUUGACCCAUCCUCUCUAUUUACGCCUCCUUUUCUCAACUAAACCCCUUGAGUUCAUAGCAUGUUGAUACCUGUUUGGCUGUUUGUUCAUCUCGACGCUAAUGGCGCGUUUCGUGACGUUCCAUAUAUACUAUUUGCGGUUGCGGCAGCUGCUGAUUAUAAUCCAUCAUAACAGUUUCUCAUAUCUUGCAU
rnacentral:lncRNA from 1 species